UACGUAGGGUGCGAGCGUUGUCCGGAAUUACUGGGCGUAAAGAGCUCGUAGGUGGUUUGUCGCGUUGUUCGUGAAAACUCACAACUCAAUUGUGGGCGUGCGGGCGAUACGGGCAGACUGGAGUACUGCAGGGGGAGACUGGAAUUCCUGGUGUAGCGGUGGAAUGCGCAGAUAUCGGGAGGAACACCGGUGGCGAAGGCG
rnacentral:rRNA from 1 species